rnacentral:lncRNA from 1 species
GUUGUAUCUUCCUAGAUACACACAUGUUGGAAGUACCCAUCUACUUAACUCUUUUCCUCACUAGACUGCAAGGUCUGUGCAGGAUGAUGUGCAUCAUGUUCAUUUUCAAAUCCCCAGAGGUUGGCACAUAGCAAACCCUGAAUAAAUACAUCCCUGAGAGAGGGAUGGAGGUGGGAGGGAGGAGGGAUAGAGAGGGGGAGGGAAUAACUGUGACUAUAUCUUCAUUAGUCCUUAGAAGAUGGGGUCCUAGGGACAGGGAUUCUUUUGGCACAAGGUAACCACACUCAAAGGUGGUAAGGCAAGUCCUUUGAGAUAUUUUACAGUUAUAGCAUCAAAGAGAGACAGUCAGAUCCAUCCAAAAUCUCCCCUUCUGUGCCCCUGGGACCAGAGGCUUACAUUGAUGAUUGCCCCAUACUAAGCUAUAAAUUCUUUGAAGGCAAGAUCCAUAUCUAAUUCAUCUUUGCAUUCCCAUGGUACUCACUAUAAAGUUUUCUACAAGGAAGAUAUUUAAUAUAUAUUUAUUGAAUGAAUGAAUGAAAGAAUGAGAGGCCAGAAUCAGGAGACCUACACAUGCGUCCACAAAAAGUCAUGGCUUGAGCCUUCUUCACAUGGGGUUGCCAAUGCAUUGGAUUGGCUGCAAACCCAGUACACUUGCUGGUCACCUCAGUUCUAACCAUGCUGGCACUGGGAUGAUCCCAAUUAUUGUCAGCCAAAGGAUGGGCAGCAAACUUUCUGAGAAAUAAAGAAAGUCAGGUCAGUAGAUUGCAGAAGCUUUGACCUCUAAAUUCUCAGAUGAUUCCUCCUUUAUGCAGAACAAGCAAAAUGCACAAAUAGCAGAGUUCCUGGGGUGAUUGAGACUGUGGGUGAAAAAAGAUUUGGGGCACAUUGUGGAAGACAGCUAGAGUCUAUACGUUUAACUUCGCAUUGCUGUGCAUUUUAUUUUAAGCCAGUGUAUAAUUAGAGAGCCUGCCAUGAAAAUGAGCGGUUUUGUUUAUUUAUUAUGUAAGUAUGUCUUUUAUUAAAACGACUUUGUGAAAAUCUAAUUGCUACUACAGUAAUAUAGCAUAGCAGUCCCUUACAUAAAUACAUGAUUAUUAUGUACAGUCACUUAUCUGUGAACGAGUUCUGCUACUACUUUCCUUAAUUAAGGAUACAAAAGGGCUCCUUCAUCUUUGCAUAUUCCCUUGCUAGGACAUUGAUACUCAUUAUUUCCUAAGUCCAAACACUGAAACUGUGUCAAGAAUGCAUCCAUCACUAGAUGGGUACUUAUAGUCAGCGGAAUUUUCAACCCCGUCAGCAAUUUCAGCAAUUUGCAAUUUCUGUAUGUCUGACAUGUGUUUUUAUUGGUGAAGAUCACUUUCAAAUACCAAGAUCAUGAGAAUGAUUCUUUGGGUACUCUCUGCUGCAGCCUAAUGUAAUGACAGUAAUUAACAGCCUGUGAUUAGCAGCCACUCCAGAAAGUGUUUGAAUGUUAAUUUGCUUCAACUAAUAUGCAGCACUUCUGUGUAAUGAGAUCUAAGCUAUAGGUUCAUGGGAAAAGCAAAUUAUUUUCCAGCAUUUAAUCAUACAAAUGAUUCUUAGCUAAUCACUUGAACAGUAAACCUCACUGUUCUAAUAAGUGACAUUUGUUUUUCUGUCAUUCAGUUUAUUAUGGUAUAAGCUAGAGCAAAGAUACUCUUUUUCUUAAUGGUCAAAUCCCCAUUUGCCAGCAACAUCACUCCUAACUAAACACUCAUGACAUAGAGGAGUAGAUUGGGGUUGGAGGGUAAGUACCAAAUGGAGAGAAAAUCUGCAUCACUCCAAAUUUAGUUUCCUGACUUUAAAGGCAUUGCUUGGUGCCAUCUUUACCUCAGUUUACAUAUCCACAGAGUGGAAUGAGUGACCCUUGGCUCUGUAACACAAAUAUGUUGACACCUAAUAUCCACAAAGAAUUUGAGAAUAGAUGAACUGACUUCUUAAAAAGUACGUGCCCUCUGGAGUUCCCAUCGUGGCUCAGUGGUUGACGAAUCCAACUAGGACCCAUGAGGUUGCGGGUUCGAUCCCUGGCCUUGCUCAGUGGGUUAAGGAUCUGGCAUUACCAUGAGCUGUGGUGUAGGCUGCAGAUGCGGCUAGGAUCUGGCAUUGCUGUGGCUCUGGUGUAGGCCGGCAGCUGUAGCUCCGAUUAGACCCCUAGCCUGAGAACCUCCAUAUGCCACUGGUGCGGCCCUAGAAAAGACAAAAAAAAAAAAAGUACAUGCCCUCUCAACAUUAGCCUGGAACUGCUCAAAUCUUGGAGCAAAACCAUUAACAAAUGAUGAUGUGGCCAAGUUAGACCAGCUAAGAAUCAACAGUGCAACAGGCAUUUCAGAAGACAGUGAUGUAAGUAUCCAAGAAUAAAGUGAGGCCUUUGGGAAAUUGGAUGAAGCCCUAGACCAUUUUUUGUAAACUAACUAACUUCACAUUUACACUGAAAAGGUCAAACAUGCCAUAAAAGAUGCUGAGUCAUACUGUCACAGUGGCAUCAGAAAAAU